GAGUUUGAUCCUGGCUCAGAACGAACGCUGGCGGCGUGCCUAACACAUGCAAGUCGAACGUGAUCCAGAGCUUGCUCUGGUGACAGUGGCGCACGGGUGAGUAACGCGUGGAUAACCUACCCUGGUAUCCGGGAUAACAUUCCGAAAGGGGUGCUAAUACCGGAUAAGCCCACGGGCUCUUUGGAGCUUGCGGGAAAAGGUGGCCUCUAUUUAUAAGCUACUGUAUCAGGAUGGGUCCGCGUACCAUUAGCUAGUUGGCGGUGUAACGGACCACCAAGGCGACGAUGGUUAGCUGGUCUGAGAGGAUGAUCAGCCACACUGGAACUGGGACACGGUCCAGACUCCUACGGGAGGCAGCAGUGGGGAAUUUUGCGCAAUGGGGGAAACCCUGACGCAGCAACGCCGCGUGAGUGAUGAAGGCCUUUGGGUCGUAAAGCUCUGUCAGAGGGGAAGAAAUGAUAUAGUGCUAAUACCACUUUAUCUUGACGGUACCCUCAAAGGAAGCACCGGCUAACUCCGUGCCAGCAGCCGCGGUAAUAC
rnacentral:rRNA from 1 species